AUGGUCUCCAGGGCUCAGCUCCUCUGCCUUCUGCUGCUCUGGGUCCGUGAAUCCGCAGGGGCCAUGGAGGUGACUCAGUCUCCAGAAUUCGUGACAGAGUCUCCAGGAGGCAGUGUCACCAUCAACUGCAGACUCAGUUCUAGUGGUUCCUAUGUUGCCUGGUACCAACAGAAACCCAAACAAGCUCCAAAGCUCCUUAUCUAUGAGAUCUCUAAGCGUCCCUCUGGGGUCUCUGACCGGUUCAGCGGCAGUGGGUCUGGGACUGCCUUCUCUUUCACCAUCAGCAGGGUGGAAACUGAUGAUACUGCAGACUAUUACUGUCAGUACCAUAGUGGUACACCUCCCACAGUGCUUCAGCCCCAUACAAAAACUUCCCUGGGCCCUUUGGCUUCUAGAGGAGCAGCUGCUUCUUGGCCAAAGUCACUGACCCAGUGUGGAGGGAAUAUCCAGCCAGACAUUUUAGGAAGGGAGAGAGGACAGGAGAAUGCCAGAUCCAAACUGCUCAAGGAACCAGAAGGGGAAAUUGCUGCCUGA